UUGCUUCUGCAGCACAUCUACUGAAAUUAGAAUUAUACAGAGAAGAUAAGCAUUGUCCCUACACAUGGAUGACACUCAAAUCCACGAAGCAUUCCAUAUUUUU